rnacentral:rRNA from 1 species
AGAGCUCGUAGGUGGUUUGUCGCGUUGUUCGUGAAAUCUCACGGCUUAACUGUGAGCGUGCGGGCGAUACGGGCAGACUAGAGUACUGCAGGGGAGGCUGGAAUUCCUGGUGUAGCGGUGGAAUGCGCAGAUAUCAGGAGGAACACCGGUGGCGAAGGCGGGUCUCUGGGCAGUAACUGACGCUGAGGAGCGAAAGCGUGGGGAGCGAACAGGAUUAGAUACCCUGGUAGUCCACGCCGUAAACGGUGGGUACUAGGUGUGGGUUUCCUUCCUUGGGAUCCGUGCCGUAGCUAACGCAUUAAGUACCCCGCCUGGGGAGUACGGCCGCAAGGCUAAAACUCAAAGGGAUUGACGGGGGCCCGCACAAGCGGCGGAGCAUGUGGAUUAAUUCGAUGCAACGCGAAGAACCUUACCUGGGUUUGACAUGCACAGGACGCGUCUAGAGAUAGGCGUUCCCUUGUGGCCUGUGUGCAGGUGGUGCAUGGCUGUCGUCAGCUCGUGUCGUGAGAUGUUGGGUUAAGUCCCGCAACGAGCGCAACCCUUGUCUCAUGUUGCCAGCGGGUAAUGCCGGGGACUCGUGAGAGACUGCCGGGGUCAACUCGGAGGAAGGUGGGGAUGACGUCAAGUCAUCAUGCCCCUUAUGUCCAGGGCUUCACACAUGCUACAAUGGCCGGUACAAAGGGCUGCGAUGCCGUAAGGUUAAGCGAAUCCUUUUAAAGCCGGUCUCAGUUCGGAUUGGGGUCUGCAACUCGACCCCAUGAAGUCGGAGUAGCUAGUAAU